rnacentral:rRNA from 1 species
UAGGGAAUAUUGCGCAAUGGACGAAAGUCUGACGCAGCGACGCCGCGUGAGUGAUGAAGGCCUUAGGGUCGUAAAGCUCUGUUGAAUGGGAAGAAAAAAAUGACGGUACCAUUCGAGAAAGGAUCGGCUAACUUCGUGCCAGCAGCCGCGGUAAUACGAGGGAUCCUAGCGUUGUUCGGAAUUAUUGGGCGUAAAGGGUGUGUAGGCUGCCAUACAAGUCAGUUGUGAAAGCCCCGGGCUCAACCCGGGAAGUGCUUCUGAUACUGUUUGGCUUGAGUACUGGAGAGGACAGUGGAAUUCCUGGUGUAGUGGUGAAAUACGUAGAUAUCAGGAGGAACACCGGCGGCGAAGGCGGCUGUCUGGCCAUGUACUGACGCUGAAACACGAAAGCGUGGGGAGCAAACAGGAUUAGAUACCCCUGUAGUCC